rnacentral:pre_miRNA from 9 species
GAGGAGAGGCAGAAAGUGCAUCUCUCCCCACCAUUAAAGUGGCUGUGAUGUGUUGAUUGUAUACUCAUAUCACAGCCUGCUUUGAUGAGAGGGAGUGACAACGCCACAUCUGAUGUUCUA